UACCAGCACCCCGAGUGGUCGGGACGAUUAUUGGGCCUAAAGCAUCCGUAGCCGGUUCUGCAAGUCCCCCGUUAAAUCCAGCUGCUCAACAGAUGGGCCGCGGAGGAUACUACAGAGCUAGGAGGCAGGAGAGGCAAGCGGUACUCAGUGGGUAGGGGUAAAAUCCGUUGAUCCAUUGAAGACCACCAGUGGCGAAGGCGGCUUGCCAGAAUGCGCUCGACGGUGAGGGAUGAAAGCUGGGGGAGC
rnacentral:rRNA from 1 species